GAGUUUUGGAUCGAAAGAUCUAACUCCCACCCUUUUGUUUAUUGACCUGUUGCUUCGGCUGGACAUUCCUUCGGGGAUCGUUGACCGUUUACGAGUGAACGUGUUCCAGCCGAAGAAUUUAAACUCUUUACUAGCAGUCUGAGUAUUUUAUAAAAAAAUCAAAACUUUCAACAACGGAUCUCUUGGUUCU
rnacentral:misc_RNA from 1 species